rnacentral:rRNA from 1 species
AUUGAACGCUGGCGGCAGGCUUAACACAUGCAAGUCGAGCGGAGACUUCGGUCUUAGCGGCGAACGGGUGAGUAAUACCUAGGAAUCUGCCUAUUAGUGGGGGAUAACGAAUCGAAAGGUUCGCUAAUACCGCAUACGUCCUACGGGAGAAAGGGGGGGAGUCUUCGGACCUCUCGCUAAUAGAUGAGCCUAGGCCGGAUUAGCUAGUUGGUAGGGUAAAGGACCUACCAAGGCGACGAUCUGUAGCUGGUCUGAGAGGAUGGCCAGCCACACUGGAACUGAGACACGGUCCAGACUCCUACGGGAGGCAGCAGUGGGGAAGUAUUGGACAAUGGGGGCGAACCCUCGAUCCAGCCAUGCCGCGUGUGUGAAG